ACACAGAGGGUGGGCUGAUUUACUUUGAACAAACAACACUAAUCCCACUGCCAACAGGGAGAAGUUCCUUUGGAUUUCUUCUGACACCUGUACGUUAUUUUAAGGAGCCGCUUGUAUUAUCGAAACGCCACCUAACUGAAUGGAAGUUCAGCGUUUUAAUUAAAAUGCGGUGGGCUCUGGAGUGUAUGUGUGCAGUGAAUGGACGCUCUCGACAUGAACAGAUUCAUCCGUGUGUCGCAGCUGGCUGUGAUUCUGCUCUACAUUGCUCUUGUUCAGGUUUUUACCAUUCUGGGCAAUCCCCACUCCAAAGUGAUGCUGUUCCCCGAGGCGUGGAGUCGUAGUCAGUGUCGUUCUCUGGAGAGGAUGGUGGAGGUGGAGCAGGAGUAUCCCGGAGGGGUGGAGCACAUCUAUAAUCCCGGCUGUGUUCCGCUGCGACGCUGCUCCGGAUGCUGCAACGACGACAAACUGACCUGUUUCCCCGCCAGCACACACAACAUCAGCAUACAGGCACACACACACACACACACACACACACACACACAGUGUAAUUCUAGUGACUCGCAGCACUGUGUAUUUAUUGGUGUUUUUCUUCAGCUGCUGAGAAUAACUCCGUCGGAGAGGAGCAGGGAGUACGUGCUGCUUUCGUUUCUGGAGCACCGGAGCUGUGAGUGCAGGCCCAGAAGACAGCACCCGAGACACCAGCAGUGAGUACUGAUUGAUUGACGGGUGGAUGGCGGGGUGUUAGUAAACGCCAGAAGUAAGGUUGUGAGUGCUCUUCUCAGCAGGAGGAGGAGGAAGGGCAAGCGCCGGAGGAGGCGGAGAGGAAGGACGCACAGGGAUUGAGACGCAGCCCGGAUCCGAUGAACACUUUGGCAAAUAGGCACAGACUCCAUUCAUCACACAAGCACUGGACCUUAGUGUGGUCAGUCUGACCCGGACCAGGACCAGGACCAGGACCAGGAUCAGCUCAAGACCUGCUGCGGCUCCCAGAUCAAACAUCUGUUUAUACCGACCGUAGCGGAUCACACUGUCACUGAGAAACAAUAAAGCUGCUAAAGCGAAGGAAUCAGGCUUCAUCAGGGAACAGACGAGAGAACAAAUGUGAAAUACCUCAGUGCUUUGAAAAAGAAUCAAAUCUACUAUAAAAACAUGAAAUACAAUGCAAUGUGUGUUCAUAUCCCCAUAUGUGCCUUAAUAUAUUUUAUAAAACAAUAAAUUCACAGUAUUUAAAGAAAUAAAAGCUGCUUGUUUUGUGUUUA